UACGAAGGGGGGCUAGCGUUGCUCGGAAUCACUGGGCGUAAAGGGUGCGUAGGCGGGUCUUUAAGUCAGGGGGUGAAAUCCUGGAGCUCAACUCCAGAACUGCCUUUGAUACUGAAGAUCUUGAGUUCGGGGAGAGGUGAGUGGAACUGCGAGUGUAGAGGUGAAAUUCGUAGAUAUUCGCAAGAACACCAGUGGCGAAGGCGGCUCACUGGCCCGAUACUGACGCUGAGGCACGAAAGCGUGGGGAGCAAACAGGG
rnacentral:rRNA from 1 species